CAUAAAUGCAAGUAAUUUAUGAGAAACAAAAUCCAGUAGAGUUUUCAGAAUCCUGCGGUGUUCUACCUUCUCACUGUAUCCUCACUCCAAAUUGGUGAGAAAUUUAUAUUAAUCUCCAUCCUAGUUUUCAGAUCUGUUCUCCUGCGGUGUUCGUAGCUCACUGCUCUCACCCAAGGUCUUAUUACUCUAGGUGCGCUAAUCUAUUUAAAAAAAAAAAAAAACAAAAGGUGCGUGAAUCUGUCUUCACAUAUCUGGAAAAUUUCAUACCCCCUAUGUUCUUCCUUGUGUAUGGGGAGAUGCUGUCGGAUAUUGGGGCAUAGCAACGAUGGACUCAAUGAUGCAAUGGAAAAAAGUUGGUAGUACAGGAUGAUUGCUUGGUAGUCCAUACUAAGCUUUGCUACCCCCACCGCCAGUCACCUGUGCAUACAAUAAAACUAUCACAGUGAAUUUACUUUUUUUUUUUUUUUGGAAAAAGUGUCAAAUAGGUCACUGAACUUAUCGUUUUUGUGCAAUUGAGCCAUUGAACUUAAAAA